rnacentral:rRNA from 1 species
ACUCCUACGGGAGGCAGCAGUGAGGAAUAUUGGACAAUGGGCGGGAGCCUGAUCCAGCCAUGCCGCGUGCAGGAAGACUGCCCUAUGGGUUGUAAACUGCUUUUGUACAGGAAGAAACACUCCCUCGUGAGGGAGCUGGACUGGUGACUGUAAGAAUAAGGAUCGGCUAACUCCGUGCCAGCAGCCGCGGUAAUACGGAGGAUCCAAGCGUUAUCCGGAAUCAUUGGG